CAUGCAGUCGAACGCGUUGGCCCAAUUGAUUGAUGGUGCUUGCACCUGAUUGAUUUUGGUCGCCAACGAGUGGCGGACGGGUGAGUAACACGUAGGUAACCUGCCCAGAAGCGGGGGACAACAUUUGGAAACAGAUGCUAAUACCGCAUAACAACGUUGUUCGCAUGAACAACGCUUAAAAGAUGGCUUCUCGCUAUCACUUCUGGAUGGACCUGCGGUGCAUUAGCUUGUUGGUGGGGUAACGGCCUACCAAGGCGAUGAUGCAUAGCCGAGUUGAGAGACUGAUCGGCCACAAUGGGACUGAGACACGGCCCAUACUCCUACGGGAGGCAGCAGUAGGGAAUCUUCCACAAUGGGCGCAAGCCUGAUGGAGCAACACCGCGUGAGUGAAGAAGGGUUUCGGCUCGUAAAGCUCUGUUGUUAAAGAAGAACACGUAUGAGAGUAACUGUUCAUACGUUGACGGUAUUUAACCAGAAAGUCACGGCUAACUACGUGCCAGCAGCCGCGGUAAUACGUAGGUGGCAAGCGUUAUCCGGAUUUAUUGGGCGUAAAGAGAGUGCAGGCGGUUUUCUAAGUCUGAUGUGAAAGCCUUCGGCUUAACCGGAGAAGUGCAUCGGAAACUGGAUAACUUGAGUGCAGAAGAGGGUAGUGGAACUCCAUGUGUAGCGGUGGAAUGCGUAGAUAUAUGGAAGAACACCAGUGGCGAARGGCGGCUACCUGGUCUGCAACUGACGCUGAGACUCGAAAGCAUGGGUAGCGAACAGGAUUAGAUACCCUGGUAGUCCAUGCCGUAAACGA
rnacentral:rRNA from 1 species